GGGUUGUAAACUGCUUUUGUACGGAACGAAACGGUUCGCCUUAAUACAUUGGGUUCCUGACGGUACCGUAAGAAUAAGCACCGGCUAACUACGUGCCAGCAGCCGCGGUAAUACGUAGGGUGCGAGCGUUAAUCGGAAUUACUGGGCGUAAAGCGUGCGCACGCGGUUAUAUAAGACAGAUGUGAAAUCCCCGGGCUCAACCUGGGACCUGCAUUUGUGACUGUAUAGCUAGAGUACGGUAGAGGGGGAUGGAAUUCCGCGUGUAGCAGUGAAAUGCGUAAAUAUGCGGAGGAACACCGAUGGCGAAGGCAAUCCCCUGGACCUGUACUGACGCUCAUGCACGAAAGCGUGGGGAGCAAACAGGAUUAGAUACCCUGGUAGAA
rnacentral:rRNA from 1 species